rnacentral:tRNA from 1 species
GGGCUCGUAGUCUAAUGGUAUGACUCGGCCUUCGCAAGGCCGUGAUGCGGGUUCGAUUCCCGCCGAGUCCA